rnacentral:rRNA from 1 species
AUUGAACGCUGGCGGCAUGUCUUACACAUGCAAGUCGAACGGCAGCACGGGUGCUUGCACCUGGUGGCGAGUGGCGAACGGGUGAGUAAUACAUCGGAACAUGUCCUGUAGUGGGGGAUAGCCCGGCGAAAGCCGGAUUAAUACCGCAUACGAUCUACGGAUGAAAGCGGGGGACCUUCGGGCCUCGCGCUAUAGGGUUGGCCGAUGGCGGAUUAGCUAGUUGGUGGGGUAAAGGCCUACCAAGGCGACGAUCAGUAGCUGGUCUGAGAGGACGACCAGCCACACUGGGACUGAGACACGGCCCAGACUCCUACGGGAGGCAGCAGUGGGGAAUUUUGGACAAUGGGCGAAAGCCUGAUCCAGCAAUGCCGCGUGUGUGAAGAAGGCCUUCGGGUUGUAAAGCACUUUUGUCCGGAAAGAAAUCCUUGGCUCUAAUACAGUCGGGGGAUGACGGUACCGGAAGAAUAAGCACCGGCUAACUACGUG